rnacentral:lncRNA from 1 species
CGAGCUACCCAUUCUGGUUUGAAUUCUAUUCUUUUUCUGACCAAAUUUAGGCUCUAGUUCAGUUCGUUACUUACUUGCCUUGGUUGACUGGCGCAAUUUAUCCUUCUAUGUGCAUCCGCUCCUUUCCCUUUCUACAGAGACUGAGCUUCUUGCCCACGAAUUGCCAUCUAUAGAAGGAAUUGUGGAGAUCUGAAGCCCUACUGAAUCUCCUCUUUCCUUUCCGUUAAACAGAGUAGGGGCUCUAGCUUUAGCUCGAAGAGGAAACGAGUUCUCGUUCUGAUCUGCACCGGGGGUUGCUUCGGUCAGUUACAGGGGUGGUCAGUAGGUAGUUCCGAUUCUAGCUCUGGAGAAGUCAAUUUCAAUCACAAAGAUUUCACUACACUACUUAAUUACGUCAAACAUUCCUCUUUCUACUUCUGACUCUCGCACGGGGAUUACCUUUCUCAAGGCAGCACCGCGGCAAUUCAAUGAGCGAGACUUGCACUCAAUAGUAGAACAAUGAAAGCAGUAGCGGCCCUCCCCAUACUUAGAUGGUCCGGCUACGCCUGGUCCUCCCUUUGAUCUUGAUUCUGCAGUUGGGAUUGAAUAUCGGGAACCCCUUUUUUGUUCCAUUUAUCAGUGUCCUGCUUCAAGCCUUCAUUCAUCAGUCAGCCGGCUUUCCGAUAGAGCGCCUUCUUACUUAUUAACUUCUUUCAUACCGCUUCCUUAAGAGGAUUCGGGGUCUCAAGUCGAAAGGCUAUGGAUAGUCAGACUAAUGACUUUCCACAGUACCUUUUCCUUUUUUCCAAGGGCCGUGCCAAAUUGCUCUAAGCGAUUCUACCCUUUAUAGAAGAGAUAUCGAAGUCGAGGACAUUACUGUAAUAAUGGGAACUAUUGCUUCCGGGCCGGGGAAAGGUACAUAUAGUAGAUAAGUAGAAUGACUACGGUUCGGGGAACAAGCUACUCCUGAGCGCACUGGCGCGAAAGCCCUUGCGCGUUAGCACGCGCAUACGUUUUCUUGCCGGGAGCCAAAUCUGUAUGGGGAUGGGAGUCAGAUCAAUGUCAGGGAGUCAAAUCUUUUUUCUAUGGACCAUCUGCUGUACCGUACAUCCGCCUUGGCCGUACAGCAGAGAAGUUGUCAUUUUCUAUCAGGAACGCUAUGUCAUUUACAACCUCGGCGUAUUUCGGAUGCUUGAAGGCCCCGCUGACCCGAAGUAAUUUAGAAAGAUUCUUCUUUAUCGAUGGUGGUCGGUCAUGGUAUCCAUAGCGUUGCUUUUUUUUCGGCCAAAUCCUGAUUUCGUUUUGCUUCUUCCGGUCGUCGAGCCUGAUCGACUCGACUCUUUUCCUUGCCCCCCAGCCUUUCACUUCGUUUCGUUCUUCUUCUGUAUCGUCGCUUGAAUGAAGACACCCGAUCGGCCCGACUUUCCCGAAUGUCCACCACCGGCCCUUCUCCUUUCCGGGUCUGGUUUUUUUGCGUCGUUUCAGUCGACGGGGACGAAAGAAAUGAAUGAAUGUUCUUUUGGGAAAAUGUAGAAUAAUACACCUACCAAGACGAAAGCCAAAGGUGAGUCUCGUAGGUGGACGUAUCGAACCAAAAUAAGAUCUCAGAUUGACAUCUUGAUACACUAAUUGACUAUAAUAAUAAUCACUAAACCAACUUGAAUCUGAACUACGAUUGAGAUACAUUCUUAACGAAAUAGGAUUUCCUUUGCGUGCCAUAUGCGCUUAGACUUUACUUUUUUUCCCCUUUUUUUCUUCCUGGUCCAAUAUUUUUUCUCGAAAGUCUUCGUUUCCGUGUUGGAAUAUACACUUAUUAUAUUAGUUUAUAUUAGUAGACGAGAUUUUACGAAAUGAGAAAAAGAAGUUAGCGGAUUAUGAUGCCCUAUUAGAUAGCCUAUGCCUUGCAAACGAUUAUUUCUAAUUAGACUGUGAUAACUGAUUUGCUGAUAAAUUCAAACCUUGUUGAGCCACGCCAAACAAAGGGAUCGUACUUACUAAUGGAUCACCUGGAGUUCUUUCUCACCAGGUGGAAAAGCGCGUAUAGAUUUCCUCCCCUCCCCAACCCAACCAAGGGCUUUUUUAUUCCGAGCCUCAUUAGCAUGCUCGUCGGCGAGCUAUUCUAGUUCUGUAGAGUAACAGCGCGCAAUAACAAGAGAGAGAGGCAGGCUUGGCGACCGAUUCGUGUCACAGCUAUUCCUUCUGUACUACAGUUUGGUGGAGGAACUGUAAAAGAACAAUUUCAAUCCGUGCUCUAACUUGACAUAAUCGUUUUAAUCAUAUUCGAAAUCUUCAUAUUAAUCUUCUAAAUCUUUGCCAUCUUUAUAUUCUCCAGUUGAUGAUGCAUAUUCAUAUUGAACUUUAACUUGUUCAACAACUGCCUUAUUUUCUUCCAUAGUAGCUUCCUCUCCAUCCUGAGGCGAGUCCACAAAUAACAUUUUAUCCAUUUGAAUUUGAUGAACAAACUAACUAGUUUGCAGCAGUUGAAUCAUGCCUGUUUGAUGAAUAAACUAACUAACUUGCAAAGCUGCUUGUAUGAAUAAACCAACAUGCUAUCCUUACCUUCAUUUAACGGAUCAACACAUAUAGAUAACAUGAUAAAAUCGUUAACGGCAGCGUCCAUUAAGAGGGUAGUUGAGCUAGUAGUUCCAGCAUUUUCUGUCCUACCAAUCAAGUAAGGGAGCUGGCACUGCUUGUUGUGCAAAUUUUAUUGAACUCGCAAGCGCACGAAUCUAUUGUAGAAUAGAUCAAUGGUGAUGAGUAUCGAUUCCACGAGGAGAUGGAUUUUAAUUAUAUGUAGAAUUAAUUUUCUAUGAGGAUGGUUUGAUUUGUGGUAAAAGUAACUUAAAUUAUCCUAAAAUUUGAAUUAAAAUGGCGGGAAUGAAUUAAAGCGAAAUCUAUUGAAAUAAAGCACUUGGGUAUCUAGAUCUGCAUCAACAUGCACCAUGAGAUAAAUAUUCCUUAUUAGUGCCAAUUAAAUCAUGAGGGGGGAAUCCACACCUCAUGAACCACACUCUAAUCAAUAUGGUGCUAAGGGCUUAUCUUGCCAAAUAAUAAUAACCUUGUACUAGGGAGUUGGUAAAAUCAGGGCGGUAUCUAGACAAGAUUAUUAUUAUUUGUCGACGAAAAGUCAAAACAUCCACAAUAAUUAAAGGGUGAGAGAAAAUAAAUUUACCAAAUAAAGCCCAUGACACAUGUUGAGACUUCACCUUCAACCCAAGCUUGAAAGAAAAUUAGCUACUCAUAAUUGAACUAGGGGCAAAAUGAGAAUUUAUUAAAAUACGUAGAAAAUACAAGAUGGAGAAGGAAUUACAGAAACUUGAACUAAAAAAUGAAUUCAAGGAUGCCAAAUUAGGGGGGAGAGCCCCCCUUUUUAUAGAUACACUGAGUAAAUCGUGGCCAUCGGAUUAAAAACAUUUGGACGCUCAGGAUUGCGCCACGUCAUUAGUCAACAGUACGCAGUUUGACCACGCAGUUUAAACAGUGAAAUGGUUUGACCACAGGGUUUGAAUAGUGACGCGGUUUGAACAGUGACGCGGUUUGUUUGAAAAUAAUCCUGUGUAUAUGCAUGUAUCGUACGCACGAUUUUUGGUCCACUAACAUGCUGCCACGUCACUGAUCAACAGUGCAUAAGAAUUUUGUCCAAUAGAAUCGUGACACCUCAUCAGUCAAUGCCACAUCAUUGCUCAAUGCCACGUCAUCGUUCCAUAUAUGUGAACAAUGUCGUGAACAGUAAUAUAGACAAUACCGUACAUACAUGAAUUCUUCGAAAUUUUCCAUUCUGGGGACUAUCACAAGAGCUGCUGUACCGUACAUCCGCCUUGGCCGUAGAGCAGAUACAUAAAAGUAGGAAUGUUAGUAAAACUUGAAGUAUAAAAUGAUAAUUUUCUCCUUUAUAAAUAUAUAUUUUCUAACACUUAACACUACUCUCCCUAUCAGUUGAGGCUUUCAACUCCUCUCUUUCCGGAUGUGAAAUUUAGAAUAUAUCUUAUCUUUUUCUUUUUAGUGGUGCAGUAGAAGAAGAGAGCGACUUCCUUCUGUUUUAUACGCUGGGUGGUGCCACUAGAAGUACAAACCUUAGCCGAGAGCGAGUUCAUCAUGCGUCUUCGCUUUGCCCCAUUCAUUCUGUCCGGGAAUGAUUCAAUCGAGAAAGCUUAUCCAUCUCUGGCAAAUGACCCGUGGCAAACUACUGAAAAAAGCAACUUCUUCUAGAGGAAAAGAAAACUUCAUUCCUCUGACUCAUAUACCAUACUCUGCAUUUCAGUAAACUUUCUUUUUUUUUUGGAAACCGACCCCCUCCUCAAUAAUCUCUCCUCUCUAGCAGCCAACACAAGAAGCAAAGCUAAGCCUUUUCUUUAAUAAAGCUCUGAUCUACGACCACCCCUUCUUCUUCUCACUAAACUGAAAUUAAAGAAUUCCUUGUAGGGUCAUACUAAUGGCCUUAUUUUCUCUUUUCUUUCCUAGCCCCACAAAUAACCAUCAAUUCAAAAGACUUUUUACAGUGACAGUGAUAGAAAAGCUUAGAAAAAGAUUGAGCACGACCACGGAAAGCAUGGUAGUAAAGGAAACUGUCUUCGUAUCCGCUUUUAGACAUAAACAAAAGAUCGAAGAUCUCGGGCUUGGUGAACCUUUCUAUAAUCUUAUCAUCCAACUGGUAAGGAAGGGUGUUCACACGGCAACCCAAGGGUUGUCUCGCUCAGGUGAUCUACGAAGAGUAGACCUAUAGCCACGAGUCCAUAGACUCGCCCAGAUUCAACGACAACUGAUUGGAGCCUACAUAAAGUGGUUUCAACAACGAAACUGACUGAAACUUGACAUACUUAAGAAGCCUACCCAUUGAAGAGGGGCCUUUCUUCUAACAAUCUUGGAAACCCUUGAGAAAUGACUGAUUGACCCGAUUACGGAAUAGAGUCUUUGUUAUAAUCUUUUCUUGUCUAUUAUCCUUGAUUCUUUUUGGGGAGAUUAGUUAGGCCAAGGGAACCAAUGAAUCCUUGAACUACCAAUUUGAAUACAAGACUAACUUGAGGUUCACGCCUAUCACUUGUAGGGCGGGCCACCAGCCACUUUUUAUUUUUUUGGAAUUGCACCUCAAUAUUAAUCUACCUCCCGGGAAGUGCUGCAUUAAGCUGAUUCCCCAUGCGCAAGGCCCAUUCUUAGUUUUCAAUUUCAGCAGAAACAAUGUCAUCGUGACAUCUCUUUGAGCACAAGUUACUAUUUUUUAUUCAAUUCUGAGAGUGGGAGCCCCUUUUGAUAUCAUAUCAAUCUACCAACAAAUUGCUUAACCUCAGCUUGAGUAUGAUCCAUUCGUUACCACCCUAGCCUAAGCUUAUGCGCUAAAGCUUAAUAUAUAAAGGAGAAAGAAUACUCAUUUUCUUUUAACAUAGUUUUUUUGUUCUCGAAAGUUCAAUGUUUUAUUCUUCCUACGGUUCGUAGCCAACGGCUACUGGCUGCGCAGGCUCAUUGGGCGUAGGUUCAAGUCCUGCUAUACCCACAAAGAGGAGAGUUGGAAUGGAAGAAAACGAGGCUUUAGAUGCUUCAAGAAUAAAAGACCUGCCCAGUUGGAUUUCUUGCCCGUACCAUAUGUCAUUCAAGCCCCUCGAUUGGUUGUACCCAAGUUGUAAUACCCUCAAUCGGCUGUAAUAAAUGAGUUUGCCUCUUCGCGAUCAAUGCCUCCCUUCUCUACUUUGACCUUCCUCUGUCGUAUGAUAGGUGGUGUAGUAAUCUUCUUUCGUGUGCAGGACACUUGAUAGUGGUGUGGUGUCUAUCAAGUAGGGUUGUAGGGCCGGAUCCAACUAAAUUGUUCUGGCUAACUAUUCAUCCAAGUUUAGUCUCUUCCGAGCAAUCUAUCACAUCCCAGUGCUGUUCGUUGUGUUGAACAAGAUUCUUACUGCCUAAGCUUGAACCCACAGCUUUACUGUUUAUAUAUACAGAUUUCUCUCCUACUAAUCACUAGGUUGUGGUUAUAGAGUAUACAAAACCCCACCUCUCGGAUAAGGGUUUUUCUCAUCUCUAAAUGUGUAAGAGAACCCGCGCUGGUAAGGGUUCUGAGAAAGGUAUGUCCAUAAGCCGUUCCAGGAAGAAUCAAAUCAUUCACGACAUACUUUUGACCAGAAGUGGCUAAGGAAAGGCAUAAGCCCCAAUCAGCCCCUCUCACUGUUGAAGAACAGAUAAUGACUAUUUAUAUAGGAACAAAGUGCUCGACUGUAAACGAGAGGAACUUAAUGUGGAACGACAUGUCAUUGAGUAGUCCCUCCUCGGGUCACAUCCAUCUUACACAUCUGAAGACGAAUAUAUCACUCUCAGGAAAUAGAGAGGGGCAGGAUACGAUUGAUAGAUUGAAAUAAAAUACUGAAGAUCUCGGUCAGAGCGGGCAUAUGCCAAACGUGAAAGUUACUCCUUUUAAUACCAGUGGGAAUUCAGGGCUCUCUCUAUCUCAAAGAAUUCAAAUUAAGCCAACUUAGUCAACGAAAAGGGGCCGGGGAGAGACCUUGCAACAAUAAAACUCAUUAGGCGUAGCGUGUACCUUAUUGGCAUGAGUUUAGCAACUUGUUUUGGUGACUUCCUCCUUUACAAAUGAACAUGAAUCACAUAUUCAUCAUUCUUAUAGAGAAGCUUGCCCUUUGAGCGCAUGCUAUUUCUUCAUUAGCGACAACUCUGUGGACUCAAUAGGGAAUGAAGAAUCUAUUUCUUUUAUCAUUGACAACUGGAACAAAAGGAUCAAAGCCUUCCACGACUGGGCAAUAGUUUGUAUUUACUAUAUUACUUUUUCGAAGAAAGAGCUCUAGAUGGUUCUCUCACAUCGGAAAGCCAUAUCCUUGGUUCUACUUGUCACUGUGUGGAUUAUAAAAAUGGAUUUAGGAGUGGGGGACGUGUGCCCCCGAAGAGACCUUCCACAUAGCCAAUUAUGAACCAAGCGAGGGUACGAUGUGAUGGGUUGAGAAGAUGAUGCUGUUUGCUUUAGAAGUGCCCUUAGCCUACCUGCCUGAGUAUGCCCGGAUUCCCUGAUCGUUGGUAUCGCCCGUCCUGUCCUGGUCUUUCGGUCUGAAUACUUACGACGAAUUCUUUAGGGUAGCUGUGGGAGUAGAUCGGUCGCUAAGACAUCGUCAUCUUACUUUAUUUAUUUCAUACUCGCGGAAUAGAUGUGUCGGUAAUUCUAACCUUGGUGAAGCCAGAGACGAUUGCUCAGAUAAAUAUGGUUUAGUUCGUGCGAAGGGAGUCCCAAUGUGCCUGUCAAGCCUUUGCCGACUGGUCAUUACAGAUUAGGUCAUAUAAUUGAAAGUCUUGUGUCUUCCGCUCAGUCUCUGUGGUGGAAGUCCAUGGUUACUCAUCCAGAGAAUAGAUUGGUACCUUUUAAGUCAAGCUCGAGGGUUGUGGGAAGAGGAAGGUGUUUGCCAUUGCCAACCCGUUGUAUCAGGCCUUGGUUCGGCCUUUACACGAUUGGGUGAUGGAAAUCCUACGCUGUCUUCCAAUUUCGAUAGAUGGGACUUUCAAUCAAGUGGCCCUUCUUGCCAGAUUACGAGAGAAAUCAAUUUUCCUUCGAUCUUUCUUAAAGCUGCUACUGACUUUUUGCCUGUAAGUAUGAGCGCAGGGGUGUUGUUUAGCCUGUUCGGUCGGGAAUUGGCCAAGAACUAGACGCCCAUCAUGUGUGGUCUCGGUUUUCGGUCCCCCGAUCCGACGAGAAAAGAGACGCGCGCCUUCGUGUUUCGCUUGACAAAGGUCAGCUGUCGGUUACUACACUUUAUGGCUUGUUGAGCUAUCAUAUGGUCGUGUGGCUUGCUGUUGAGUGUUAGAAAGUGUAUAUUUAUAAAGGAAAAAAUUGUCAUUUUACAUUUCAAGUGUUACUAACAUUCUUACUUUUAUGUAUUUAAACUUCUUAUAAUUUAAUUGUGUGUUUUAUUUUAAUUAAGUAUUUUAUGUAUUUUAGGGGCAUCAUGGUCAUUUCACAAUGAACGAGAGAUCAGACAAUAAAACGGACAUUAGUUUUGAACUCAGGACAGUCAAAAACCUUAUAAGGAGCAUAAAAGGAAAAAUGGCAUAGUUCACAUGUACGGUACUGUCCAUGUUACUGUUCACGAACUAUUCACAAAUACGGAUCGAUGACGUGGCAUUAACCGAUGAUGUGGCAUUGACUGAUGAGGUGUCACGAUCCUAUUAGACUAAAAUUCUUAUGCAUUGUUGAUCGGUAACAUGACAGCAUGUUAAUGGACCAAAAAUCGUGCGUACGGUACAUGCAUAUACACAAGAUCAUUUUCAACCAAACCGCGUUAUUGUUCAAACCGCGUCACUAUUCAAACCGCGUGGUCAAGCCGCGUACUGUUGACUGAUGACGUGGCGCAAUCCUGAGCGUCCAAAAUAUUUUUAAUCCCUGAAUUCAUUUUUGAGUUCAAUUUUCUGUAAUUCCUUCUCCAUCUUGUAUUUUCUACGUAUUUUAAUAAAUUUCAAUUUGCCCCUAGUUCAAUUAUGAUUAGCUAAUUUUCUUUCAAACUUGGGUUGAAGGUGAAGUCCCAACAUGUGUCAUGGGCUUUAUUUGGUAAAUUUAUUUUCUCUUCCCCUCUAAUUUUUGUGGAUGUUUUGACUUUUCGUCGACAAAUAAUAAUAAUCUUAUCUAGAUAUCGCCCUGGUUUCACCGGCUCCCUAGUACAAGGUUAUUAUUAUUUGGCACGAUAAACCCUUAGCACGAUAUUGAUUAGAGUGUGGUUCAUGAGAAGUAGAAUCCCCUCUCACGAUUUAAUUGGCAUUAAUAAGAAAUAUUUAGCCUAUGAUGCAUGUUGAUGUGGAUCUAGAGACCCAAGUGCUUCAAUUAUAAUAAUUUCCACUUUAAUUUAAUUCUGCCAUUUCAAUUUAAAUUUUAGGAUAUUCCAAAUUAUCUUUACCAUAAACCCAACCACCCAUUUAGAAAAAUUAAUUCUACAAACAAUUAAAAUCCACCUCCUCGUGGGAUCGACACUCGUCACCAUUAAUCUAUUCUACAAUAGAUUCGUGCGCUUGCGAGUUCAAUAAAAUUUGCACAACGCUUGUCACGAAAGGGCUUUAUCCUGGGAAAGGUUUAUGGGAUUGCACGAUCUUAGGCGAUGAUACUGUUAUCGCUGAUUCGGCUGUAGCCCAGUCGUACCUAGAAAUCAUGGCGGAAUGAAUGUGAUAUGACCAUUUAUUUAUGAGAAGUCCCUCAUAUCUCAUCGUGGAGCUUGCGAGUUCGCUAAGUGUUUUAUGGUUUAUGGCAAGCAAGACAGACAUACUAAGGACUUCAGCCCCAUCUCGCUUCGUAUCUUAUGGGCUUUGCCCUACGACAUCUCUGUUGUAUCGUUCGCUAAACUCAAGUCAGAAUUAGGCAAUUGGCCUAGUUGAAGUUCUGAUUAUAGUUGCAACCUAUCUCAUAUUGGGGAGAACCUUAGAAAUCUUAUAAGAGAAGAAAUCUCGUAGUUCCGAAAAGAAAGGAGAAAUCGUUUUGAUUCGAGGUAAAUCCAUAUAAACUUUGCCUUUGCGAGUUGAGUAAACAUUAAAAAAAAAAAAAGCUUUAGGUUAUAUCACUAUAAUGUCUAAUGAGAAAGUGCUUGUUCACAUAUUUUAGAGAGGUUUUUUAUGUAGUUACUUGUAGCUGGUAGUGUCGUUAAGGUGCACCAAAUUUAAAACCUUACCACUAAUAUAAAUAAUUAGUACAGAAUGAGUAAGGAUCGAUCCCACAGAGACUAUGCUAGUUAUAUUUAUUAUUAACUCCAAAGCAAGAUUUAAAAUAAAAUAAUAGUAAUAGUAAUAAUAAUAAUAUAAAUUAAUCUAACUAAAGAAAAUGCCAAUUAAAAAUAAAAAGGGGGGUUUAUGAAUUUUUAACUAAAUAGUAAGAAAUAAAGAAAUUAAAAUUACGAACAAGAAAAAAAAAACUCUAAUUAAAGGAGAAAGAAAUAAGGGAAAUUAUCAUUCAUAUACCCUAUAUUUGUUCUGUUAUAAAAAAUACUACAAUACUUUGAGGGUGUAUCAAUCGUCCACCCUUAGUUGACAAAAUGUAUCAGCCGACCACCAAACCGUUAGUUUCCGUUUGAAAGUUAACGGAGUUACAGUGAAUUGACGAUUUUACUCUUAAAAAUUAUCACGUGUAUACCCUUAAAUUCUCUUUUUAUCACUUGUAUACCCUUAAAUUAUCACUUGUAUCAUAUGAAAAGACCAAAUUACCCUUCUGACGUCAUCAUACUUAAACGACAACUAACGGUUUGGUGGUCAGUUGAUACACUUUGUCAACUUAGGGUGGACGAUUGAUACACCCUCAAAGUGUUGUAGUAUUUUUGAUAAUGGAGUAAACUAAGGGUAUACAAAUGAUAAUUUCCCAUAAAUAUUUUUUUUUGUAAAAAGAAAAAGACGAAGCAACAAAAACUAAGUUUGAAAUCCACCCCCCCACACUUAAUUCUUACAUUGUCCUCAAUGUAAGCUAACAAAAGACAGAAUUAAACAUGGGGAAAUGAGAUGAGACAUACAAACAGAAACAAACAAAAUUCAACACAACGUAGGUAAAGUAAAUGAGAAUGAGAAGGAGAAAAAUCAAAUCUGUUAUGGCGUGCUGUCAAAAUCUUUUCUCCAGCCAUUGGGUUGCCUCUCAAUAAGCGCUUGGUUUAUUGUCCUCAGCCUGACAUGGUUCUCAAGUUUCACUCAUCAACAUACGCAGGUUCAUAAAGUGGAGCCUCAUCUACAUUAAGUGUCUGAAAGUUUUCAUAGUAAGGCUUCAACCUAUGACCAUUAACUUUGAACUCUUUACCUGUCUUUAAGCUCCUCUGCUGUACCGUACAUCCGCCUUGGCCGUACAGCAGAUUACGGAUCAAGAAUUUUAAUCUAGCAAUAAAAUUUAUUCAAGUCCUAUCUAAUUGGCCACUCAAAUAAAACAAGAAUAAACCAUGAACAUUAAUUAUAGAAGAACAUAAACAAUCUCAAUUAAAUAAAUUGAAUGAUAGAAUUUAAAUUUAAUUGCAUAGCAUGUUUAGGGUUUUGAAUUCACCCUCAACCAAAUAAAAAUUUAGCCUAACAUAAUUGAAUUGGGAAUAAGAGAAUUGACAAAACUAAUCAUGGAGAUUAAUUCAAGCGGCUGCCUUUUUCUUCAAUUUAAUUACAGCUGUUGGCUUUUUUUUCUUCUUCUUGCUGCCGAAUUGGAUCUGCCCUGCCCUCAAAGUCUCUUGCUGCCCGAAUUCUUCUUCUUCUUAUUGCUUCCGCUUGAUCUUAUUUAUAAUGCUUCAAUUGUGGCUUUGUUUAAAUCCUUGCCUGGAGAGAAUUAAAUUCCAAGCUCAAAACCGCCACCUCAUGCUUCAAUUAAUAAGCCAAUAAUGAUUUCCUAAAGCCAAAAGGCUUUAUUACCUUUUUGACUUCCAUUUUCUAAUUUUAGCUCCAUGUGCAACAUUAAUUUUGCUCGGCCCAUACAAGCUUUAAUUAAAUUUAUUUUCUAAUUCUUUCCAAUUCUUGGUCUCUUGUGCACUUUUGUCUCUCAAUCUUCAAUCAAAUUUCUUUCCUGAAUGCUCCGAUUUAAUUUCUCUUUAAUUCCAGAAUAUACCUAAAAUAAAAAAAUAAAUAAAACUAAGAUAAAAAUUAACACAAUAAAAUAUAAUUUACUAAAUUAAAAAUUAACUAAAAUAACUAAAAUAUUUAAGACCAAAACAAGAAAAAGAUAGAGAAAUUAAUAGCAAAAUAUAUGGAAAAUAUACACUUAUCAGUAGCUUUCUUUUCUUCAUUGAGAUUGGGUUGGUGUAACAGUGUACCUAUCGAUUGGUAGAGUCCGAGAUCGAAAAUCAUGCUCUUCGGAGCCCAAAGAUUCCCAUGCUUUCUGUUGGUCAACAACCAAUAAAAGUGUUCUAUUCUUCUUCACUACUCAGACUCUCCUUCUCCCCCUUGCAAGGCCCAAUGAAAGCGAUCGAAGUCCUAUGAGAUAAGGAAGCCCCCAGUGAUCGAAAUAAGUCAUUUAAAACCCUUCUUACAGUCCCCGUCCCUGAGGUACAACGUAAUAUGUGAAGGUUCGAAACCGGCCUUAAGCGUGGAAAAAUGGUCAUAUCGAAACCUCCGACUACCGAAGCAUUUCCAAGGGUAGUUUACUCACUUGAUGAUUCUGGAUUAGAAGGUAAAUUCAAUCUAUCUGAAAACAGGCUUUAUUAUAUAGGUAGGGCCGGUCCCUCCCAGGGAGCAGAACCUGAGAAUUUUAACUCAGCUUAUGUGCGCCGGGAGAGCAUGACAUAAUGAGUUCAAUCGUUCCUUAAAUAUGGAUCUAAAUAUGGAGAAUUCUCUCGCUCUGUCCCUAUUGUCCCACGAACAGGGGGUGUGUAAAGCUCGACGUCGUCCUAUCUGCCAACUUCAUUCUUCAUUGGCUUUCUCGGACAACUCUUUUCUUUAGCCUUUUCUUUUAGUCGAGUUGAGAACUCGUUCCUCUGUGUGAAACCUACACUUUUAGGGCUUCCCCACUAUGCUCUAGCUAGGGAUGCAUUUAGCAAGACCGAUUGUAUAAGCGUUAAGCUUUGCUUAUCUGUUUAUCGGCUAACUACAUUUGUUUUCCAGCCUUGCUCGUGAUGAGCUAUUGGGCAUGACAUGAACAUAUGCCUUGACAUUAUCCUCAAAUUACCCAUUUAGUAAUCUUCAGGCGAAAACGAUAUACAUUGAGAUUUCUACUCUCCCGUGGUUGAGCAAGGAAACCUUGAAAGGGGA